CCUGGGUGGGCUGGGAUGGAGAGGGCGUCGCGCUGAAAUUGCGCAUGCGCAUCCCUGGAACCCGAAGUUGGUUUGUUCCGAGCAGCGUAUUUCAAUAUCGCGCGCGGAAACCAGCUGGCUGAUGCAGUGCUUGCCAGAGUUUGCCAAAUUAAGAAAACGGUGUGAGAAAAACCCACCUUUGCUUACUAUUUACUUGAAUUUGAGUAUUAGUAGAGGAUAGAGCUGAGGUGGUAGUUGGUGUUUUGUCCUCUGUCAGAGGAACCUCUCUUACUGCUCUUGGGGAAUUGCUUUCUCUGUCUCUAUUCGUUUUCCCACUUUUGCUUCUUUUUUUCUCGCCUAAAUUCUCAGUUUAUUCCUGCAGCCCACUAACUGGGACAGGUUUUAUUGGGCUAUUUCUAUUCGUUUGGGUGCUUCCAGUUCUUUUUAUCACUUCAGUUUGCUGUUGACAUUCACUUAAUUUCUUGUCCUAUUAAGAUGCUACAAGAAGGUGGCAUAUUCAAAAAUUUUUAGUUAGAUUAAAAGACAUACUGAUUAUAAAAACUCAAACAUUAUUGGUUUUUAUUGAAUGUCACGAGCUGUUGACAGAUUUGGAACCCUUGUUUGUUAGGUGAUAAUGGACGUCUCCAGGAAAUGUAUUCACGCAAAAGUUCUGUUUUUUGCUUUUAUAUUGAUUGGUCCCUGAAGAUAUUCUUGGAGAAGAGUUUGGCACACAGAAAUAACUAAAACUUGAAAUACUCCUUGUAAUAAUAAUAAGAAAGUGUUAUGAAGUCUGCAACAAUUGGAUGGGUGAAGGAGAGCUAUAGUUGAAGAUAGAGGAUUGAGGAAGAUAACCAGAGAGAAACGUUUUGGUGUUACAAGAGGCCUUAAUAUGGAACCAAAAAAAAAUUAACCCUGGAAGAAUUAUCAGGUUCCUCAAUUUUAAAAGAAGGAGAGUUGACAGUACCUUCUUCAUAAUAUUGCUGUGAGGAUUAAAUGAAAAUAAGUAAAGUGCAUAGAAUAGUGUCUGGCCCGAGAUUGAAUCUCUUUUAGUGAGCCUCCAAAAUGAAAAAUUAAUGGAUAAAUGGAAUAGUAAGGUUUAUUUAUUUUUGUUGAAUUGUGCUCAAUAUCUUGCCUGACACCACCUGUGAUAAAUCUGCUUUUUUUACUCUCUCUGGAAAACAUGUGAAUCACAGCUGAUGGAGAAACAAUCAUUAUCAUCAAUUCUUGUUGUCUUGGCUACCACUGGGUGGAUGGCGCUGAUUCUAACAGACGCUAGCCUGCCAAAUGCUCGGGAUGCUCCAUCAAUCACUGGGUCAAGAUCCACCUCUAGUCACACUAGAGGGAAGGACUUCUGGAGAUUGCACAGCCGGGAUAUCAGCUCAUUCCUCAAAUAACCCUAGUAAUUUUGUGGAAAUAAAAAUUUAACUACUGUAUCACACUGUGAUUUGGAAGAACUGAACUGUUAUUGUCCUAUCACAAUUUUCCUAUACAGAAGAUAGACUUUUCAGAUCUGAUGUAGUUUCUUGGUUUUGAAAGUUAAGAUCUCCUGGGAAAUGCGAAUUUCUGUUUAGAGAAUUUCCUCCCCCUCUAUCAGUCAUGUCAGAGUUGUUUUUAUUAUAACAUUUGUUUUACAAUGUAAGAUUUUCCUUUCCAUCUUGACAUAAUUGCUAGUGGUUAUCAAAACUAGGCAAUGUUGAACACGAGAACCUGAACAGAAAAGAAGUAAUGCAAAUUACUUGGUCAGAAAACCUCUCAAAGGACUUAAAUAGAUUUGGAAUGAAAGAUGCAAGACUACAUUAAAUUUAAAUAACUUGCCAUAUAAAUGUUGAAAAACAAUUACCAAAUCUUUAAAAUUGCAAGGACCAGGAUUAAAGGUUUAAAAGAAAUUCAUUUUCUCUCUUACAGAAACUUAAUCCUCCUUUUAAUGUGCUUUCUUCUCGCAACUCUGCGAUUUAUCUGUGUGUAUUUGCAUUUAUCGUAUUUUUUUCCGGUUUUUCUUCCUUAUUAUAUCGUAAUCUCCUUUGUGGGCAGGGGCCACUGCAAAUCUUUAAUUGUGCCAGAUGUCUCUGACUACUGA
rnacentral:lncRNA from 1 species